rnacentral:rRNA from 1 species
CCUACGGGUGGCAGCAGUGGGGAAUAUUGCACAAUGGGGGGAACCCUGAUCCAGCCAUGCCGCGUGUGUGAAGAAGGCCCUCGGGUUGUAAAGCACUUUCAGUGAGGAAGAACGCCUGGUGGUUAAUACCCAUCAGGAAAGACAUCACUCACAGAAGAAGCACCGGCUAACUCCGUGCCAGCAGCCGCGGUAAUACGGAGGGUGCGAGCGUUAAUCGGAAUUACUGGGCGUAAAGCGCGCGUAGGUGGCUUGAUAAGCCGGUUGUGAAAGCCCCGGGCUCAACCUGGGAACGGCAUCCGGAACUGUCAAGCUAGAGUGCAGGAGAGGAAGGUAGAAUUCCCGGUGUAGCGGUGAAAUGCGUAGAGAUCGGGAGGAAUACCAGUGGCGAAGGCGGCCUUCUGGACUGACACUGACGCUGAGGUGCGAAAGCGUGGGUAGCAAACAGGAUUAGAUACCCGUGUAGUC